GGAGUACCACUGUGACAGAUGGAGGUCGAUGUGAGUCGUAGUCCACUCCUGACCGAACAGCCAGACCACUAAACGGCCCGACUUUCCCCCCAAACCCAGCUCAGCGUGCUGCACCUCGGGGUGACGGUACAUGAAGGCGGUCCACUGUGAGGAAGUCUCCAUCUACAGUACCUGGAGCUUCAGUUCGAGGCAGACGGUGAACUCCUGCAGGGCGGGAAUGAACACCUGAGGCUUCAGUCUCCAGUGGCUGCACCCAAAGGUGAAGUCAGCCACCGUCCCCCACAGACUGGGCCAAGGCACUACAGAAACAGUCAACAUGAGUCUUCUGACCUGUGAUGGGAUGUUGGCAGCCGCUGCAUUUCUUAGCCACAGAGGUCUUGUAGCAGUCGACACAGAAGACCUGGUCCUGGUGGUUUGUGAAACUGGACCCCGCCAGAGGCUUCGAGCAGGAGCUGCAC